ensembl:misc_RNA Metazoa_SRP Metazoan signal recognition particle RNA
ACUGAGUUUGGUGGUGUGCACCUAUAGUCCCAGCUACUCAGGAGGCUGAAUCAGGAGGGGUGCUUGAGCCUAGGUGUUCUGGGCUAUAGUGAGCUAUGUCUAGCUGGUGUCUGCAUUAAGUAUGGCAUCAAUAUGGCGACCUCCCAGGAUCAAGGGACCACCAGAUUGUCUAAGGAGGGGUGAACCAGUCCAGGUUGGAAAUGGAGCAGGUCAAAAUUCCCAUGCUGAGCAGUCAUGCAAUCACACCUGUGAAUAGCCACUGCACUCCAACCUGGGCAACACAGUGGGAGCCCAUCUUU